CGAGCAUGUGAUCCUAUCAUGUGACCGAGCUGCAGUGGAGCGGUAAAUUCAAAUAAGCGAAAUCCCGGAUCCUUCGAUUGUGUCAGGCUGCGUCUUCAUAGCACCUGCAACUAAUUCUCGUUGUUGCCAAUUCGUAGCAAUUUGGAACUAGACACAACCCUGCAAUAUUGAUCGGGAAGAGACAGAGGCCUGAAACGGAAACAAAACUAUGUCCUGCCCAUCUACUCACUGGUCAGCAAAUCAGAGAGCCGGACUGCACUGCUUUGAAUGGCGUGUUCCUAACUGUGUUCAGUUCUGCGGAUGUUUGUGUCUGCCAGGAAGUUCUUUCAUCUCCAAAAAGUGUGACACAUGUUGUGUUUGAAUAGGCAAUGAAUUUUCCUAAAGGGAUUCUUCCUUCAUGAUUUAUGGGAUACAUAUAAAUCACUAUAUAAAGAUGAAUGGGAUCAAGCACUAAACAGUUAAUUGUGUCACAUGAUAGUUCACAUGGUGUUAAAGGUAUUUAAUGCAAUUGUGUUCACUUGAUUUUUAUUGCACCUGAGGAAGGGGUUGACCCCGAAAGCUUGUGCCAACUCUGCUGAAUAAAUGUUCUAAA